rnacentral:rRNA from 1 species
GACGAACGCUGGCGGCGUGCUUAACACAUGCAAGUCGAACGGAAAGGCCCUGCUUUUGCGGGGUGCUCGAGUGGCGAACGGGUGAGUAACACGUGAGUAACCUGCCCUUGACUUUGGGAUAACUUCAGGAAACUGGGGCUAAUACCGGAUAGGAGCUUCUGCUGCACGGUGGGGGUUGGAAAGUUUCGGCGGUUGGGGAUGGACUCGCGGCUUAUCAGCUUGUUGGUGGGGUAGUGGCUUACCAAGGCUUUGACGGGUAGCCGGCCUGAGAGGGUGACCGGCCACAUUGGGACUGAGAUACGGCCCAGACUCCUACGGGAGGCAGCAGUGGGGAAUAUUGCACAAUGGGCGGAAGCCUGAUGCAGCAACGCCGCGUGCGGGAUGACGGCCUUCGGGUUGUAAACCGCUUUCGCCUGUGACGAAGCGUGAGUGACGGUAAUGGGUAAAGAAGCACCGGCUAACUACGUG